AAAGAAUUGUACUAACCCUGCUUACAUAGAUUAAGCCGCAGUGUGUGUUGUAUCAUUUGCAGGACACUGAAAGAACACUUUAAUACCCUCUCUACCUAAGUCUCCCAGUGGUACAAACUAAAAUUUUGCUCUUGGAUAUUCGGUCCUUUGGUUUCUUUUGGAAGUUAGCUUUUAAAAAAUCCUCCAAACCUUCAAGUAGCCAUCUUAAUUAUUUUUAUGUGACUAAUUUCCUAAACAUCAAGGUUUCAGGGCAAUCAUAAGGUUCUCGUCCUUGGAGAGGAGAGAGGCAGGUGAAUUAGGUUCUGAAUACUGGGAGGACAGUGCUUUAUAUAUAGUCUACAGUUGGUAGAUAUUUGUUGAAUGAAAAUGGGAGGGUGAAUAGAAAACACUAAGAUAAAUCUGCCCUGUUGUAAGAUACUACCCUGAGCAAGUCUUUUUUUCUAGACAUUCUGACUUUGCCUUUGACUCUCCAAUUCAACUAAAGCCCUACUUCAUUUCAGUUACAGGACUGUAUCUUUUAAGAAAGAGAGAAGAUGCUUCACUUGCAUUUGAUAUUGAUAACUUUCCAGAUUUUUCAAACUGUUAUCAUAUGGAUCUUGAGGACACUUGAGACCUGAUUACCAUGGAUGAAAGAGUUCUAUGAUAUUGGUGAUUCGUUCAAUUGAUAAAGAGACUCCUUCCUUCUUCCCUAAAUGCCUGCUUCCUCAUUCUGACAUCUUGUCAACAAAUGGCUAUUUUUCACAGCACCUUGUAUUUAUAAUCCUACUUUCUACUGGGGGAAUCCAUUAUGUGAAGUUUGGCUGGAGACAAACGGUGUUGACCACUUACAGUGGCAAAGCAAAAAAACAUUCUAAAUUAUUUCAAUCAUACCUUUCUCUGAACCUUUUCUGAAUGACCAGGAAAGAUAUGGCCCUGCUUUACUGGAAUUACUAAAUGUAAACCUAGAGCUGGCAAUGAUCGCUUUCACCACUGCAUUUAGAAAGUUUGAGAAUGAAACCAAGCAAGAAAAACUGAGCCAAAUGUGAAGAGUCCAAUGACAUUAUUUUACUAUGGUUUCAGCCAAUUUUGUAGGUCUAUAUAUUUCCUUUGUCUGUUUGAGUGAAUGAGUUAUCACUUCCAACCUGAAACUUCUCGACUCCUAUAAUUUCAUUUUCUGUGUGAACUGAAUUGUGAGACAUGCUAGGAUUUCUGUGGCAACUGAGUGGUGAGUGAAAAGUAGCUGGAGACCAUUAGAUCAGAACUUUAGUAAAAAAAUGUGCACUCCAGCAGACCAGAUCUUUCUGUGCAGCUCUUAUAGAAGAGGCAUCACAUUUACUUGUCCUUUGAGUUCAAAAGACAAAGAAAGACCCAUUUCAUAUUUCUUUUCAUUCCAUUUCAAAAUUCCUGGGAGAGAAUCCAAACUACUAACUGAGGAGUGGGGUCUGAAAACUACUGCAAAUAGGCCAAACCCAGUUUGCUGCUGACUUUUAUAAAUAAAGUUUUACUGAAAAACA
rnacentral:lncRNA from 1 species